AUGUCCAAUAAUUUUCAAUUGUACAUUUUAAAAUUCCAGCCCGCAUGGCAUCCCAGUUACGCACCAAAAGAAAACGUCAAAAGUAAACAAAAACUCGCAGGUAUUUUCGUCUUUGUUUAUACUAGCUGUUCGGAAGUGUUUUCGGUGUAUCGGGUGAAUAAAAUCGGUAAUCUCCCGCGGAAACCCUCCGCGGAAUCCACGACGUUGGCCCAGGAAGUGAAAGGAAAGGUAUAGGAACGAAGAAGAAGGGAAACCUUCGCCCAAAAUUUGUUGUACGUUUCCCAUUCAGCACCCGGAUCAACUAAAACAAUCACCAUCUCCAGCAGCAAGAACAAAUCCAUCUAUUCAAGCGGUGGCUGAACUAAAGACAAAAUUGUGAACCUAAGAAUCCUUCCACAAGCAGCAAGCCAAAGAAGAACACGGGCAGUUCCGACUAUAUCAUUCGGAACUACGACAAUUGUUAAGGAUGAGGUGGCAAAUAGUUUGGCUGGAAAGUAUGCUCUCGGGAGGCUCAGGUGCUGCUGCUGCCGAGAAAACAGCAAAGGAACUGAAUUCAGCGGUUGAGGUAUUGGUGCUGGCAUCAGUGGAACACUGGACGAGGACACCAAGUUGUUCGGACUGAAUGUUCGGAAGUAUGUCGCAAAUUCGAAAAGGUGUCGCAUAGUUCCCACCUUUACUUCCGUACAUCCUUUUAACGUUGAGACAUACGACUUUUUAAGGAAACAAAAUGGAUUGGCGCUAGAAAAGUACGUUUGUAAAACGACGAUCCCUGAACCGAUAAUUUCGAAGGUAAACCGAAACCGGUUGAGAUGAACUGAAAUGGUAGAAGAACCGUCUGAUGAAUAAUUUUAAUGUUUCAUGGAUUCCAAGGAGAAACUAAAUCUCAUUAAAGCAACAUUCAUGUGUAAAUCUCUUCAAGGAACAGCAAGUUGCCCCUGUCAAGCUGACCGUUCGAAAUCGAAAACUGAACUUUGGGCCGCAGAAUCAAGCUGCUCACGGUGUGCUUCGAUUGGUGCUGUAGCUGGGUGAACCCGUGGAACCGAAAACUCAUCGAGUACGAAACGGACAUUCUGGCCCUGUCGUAUUUCAAUCAUCUGGAUUUCGUCUCGAUGAUUUAAAAUGAGCAAUGCUCCCCGUUGGUCGUUGAACAUCGAUAUCCCGUUACCGACCAGAUAUAUUCUUGUAAUGUUUUGAAUGACCCCUCAUUUUAAGCCACAUCAUGGUCGUAGCAAGAGUUUCCUGGCUUUUCGAGGAACGUGAAAGAAAUUUAAUUCUAUGAACGUUUAUGCCAUCUUCAUUGGACUCAUAUCCGACCGGGUAGUGUAACGCAGGGUAUGUCGUCGGAUUUACUCGAUGAGACCUAUGCAUCCAAAUUUUCUGAACGUUUAGUUGAAGAUGUGCUGCAACAGCAACAAACUGAUUUGGGUGCAACUUACCUAAGAUGUUGGAAU